CUCCUGUUACACCUCAUACUCCUCAGCUGCCUGGCACGGCCGACGGAUGGCACCUUGCUUGAAAGCAGGCACACACUUCAUCGCUUUGCUUGGGGAUUUGCAGACAGCCCCAGGCCCACGAUAUAUUUAAGGCCUGUAAAUACACUCUCUGCUGACACUUGAAUAUGCUGCUUGCUGAAAGUGCUCGCAGGGACAGUUCCCGGCUCUUUCUGGAGCUCGCUGCCAUGGAAGAGAUGGGCAGAGAGGAAACUAACUGCCAUAAGCGCUUCAGAAAGUGCUGGUGAAAGAGUGCUGCAAGAGCUGCCUCGCCCAAGGACAUCCGCAGAUUCUGUGGGCUGAGGAGUUCACUGGGAAUGAAAAGGACGUGGGGAAAUCAGGACUGUCCUGCGACUGUGGGCAAGACCGUGGUGGCAGAGUCACUGCUACAAAGAAGAUGGCCACUGCUCAGCUAUAGCUUAGCUAUGGGCUGGCUGCUGCGGGAAGCACGAAACGCUGGCAGACCUAAGGGUUAAGUGGCAAACGUUUGCAUUAGAGAAAGCAGCGGGAGCUUCCCCACUGGCAGCGGAAAGACCAGCUGACCUGCGCCUAAGAGCUGCGAGUAUUUCUUUAAUCCACUUUCAUGGCUUAGUGUUUGCAGCUACUUACACAGGGGAACGGCCCAACAGAUAUAAGGGGCUGAAAACGGCGAAGACAAGAGAAUCAGCCCAGUGUUGCUUUGAGGUUUUGCUGGCCGGCAGGCUGGAUUUCCUCUCGGUAACGCUGUUUGACUGGGGCAGACGCAGUGUGGACUCCUGUAACUGCUGCAGCACCUGAAAGAUGUCCUUCCAGCUUGCUCUGAAACCAGGUAUUUCUAUGGACAGUUUUGUUUUAAACUUCUGCUUUGCCCACGCUACUCUUACUGUACCAGAAAACUGACAAAUCCUCAAAAGAGAAUUUAAAUUAUACCGAUUCUUGGACAAGCCCCACCUGUUUUGAUAAAAAUCCACUCAUUUCAAGGACAGAGGGCUGGGAGGCCCAGCAGCCCCUGAACAAUCACGUAGAAACCAAGCGCUCCACAGCAGCAUCGCAAGGUAGCGUUCAGCCCGCCGCAGAGAAUCAAACUUAGGAGCGCAGUGCUACUGAAACUCUGCUACUAAAAUAUUAUCCUGGCUUGCUUUGUUACAAUUACCGGUGCUCAGUGGUUAAAAUAUUCCCCAAAAAUGAAUUCUGGAGAAGGGAUUUGCCCAUAACCGCAGUGGGAACACGCAGCUGGCAGAGGUGCCACCCUCCACGCCAGCACCAGCGCUGCCUCUCUGGCUCACGGCGUAAAACACGGGAUUCUUCCAUGCUCACACACGGGGCUAUUCCUUUGAAACCAGACCAAGAACUUGCUCAACCAUCUUUUCAUAUGUAUGUAUCUCAUCUGACACGCUGUGGCCCCGCUGCCACUUCUACAAAGUUAGUAACACUGGUAAUUUCAGUAGCUCCUAAAGAACACACAAAAAAUAUUAUCAAAUCCAAUCCCAGGAAAUAAUGUUUUAGGAUGAGGAGUUUGAGCCUCAUUACCCACACAAUCUAGCUCUUGAUUUUACCUGUGCUUUUUUUUAUUCUUGAAGUUUGUAACAUCCCUUUAAGCUAACACAAGUAAAAACUGGUAACAAUAGAACACGUAUCUUAAGAAUCACUUUUGAGAAGCCAUCCAUGCAACCAACGCUCUACAGAGAUCCAAUGUCGUCGGUAGAAGGUUCUUAUCAUUUGUGAUUUCUUGGAUAACCAAAAUAUUUUCUUCAACCAUUCUUUUAAAGGGGUUUUAUCCCAUUUGAUCGUAUCAAAUGUCUGUGUCUAUGUGACACAGAAUGUUAUGAAGUGAAACCCAGUCCUGUCCCAAGAUACAUGGAUGGAAAGCAGCGAUUCGUUUCGAACAGCCCAGCAGCCCAACCUCGGGGCAGCUACCUGGGCGGAAUCUAACUGCUGCCUGAGCAGGACAGGGAGGUGCUCUGUGCCCUUAGCGAUAUCAGCUCUAGGCAGAGCUCUCAAGGAGCUUGAUCAAAUUUAGUAAGGUUGAAAGCUUUUGAUCAGCAGCAAGGUGAUGCAAGAACAAUAAGCCAAGCCCAAACGUUGCCUACGCUCUGCACCAGCAGCUGAGGCAGAAGGGGAGAAAUUAAUCCAACCUGAAAAACAGCCUUGCAAGCCAAGAAAACAUCAUGAUGCAAUAGAAAAAGUACAAGUUCCCAAUUUAUUUCUUCAACUACUGGUUAUAUGGAGACAGAAGAAUUUGAUUCAUGGCAGGGAAUUGUUUGGCCAACUCCAAGUCUAUUAAUCGAGUGUCCUAAAGAGGAAAACCAGGUGAAUAGGAAGUUUAUAAAACAACUCUUUGGAAGCUUGCAAAUGAAAUCUGCUGCUUUUCUCAGGGCAUGACUGCAUGCCGGUGAAGUCAGCUAAAGUUUUGCCACUGCCUUCAAUGGGAGGCAGAUCAGCUCCUUUGCUUGUCCCCACAGCUUUGAAUAGUCGGGUUGCUUCGUCACCAGGCGUGGAUGCCACACUGCAUCAUUUGGAAAGAGUGGCAUUAAAGCUUUUGUACCAAGGAUAGUAGAAACAGCAAAGAUUGAAAUUCAGUGUUUCUUUUCUGAAUCACUAGCAUCAGUGAAAGCGAAGACGGGAUUACAGAGCAAUCAGGUCUCUGGAUUCCACUUUUAUUUUCAUAUUCAAAGCUUUCCUAUCUGCAGUGUUUAGAUUCUUUUCAUGCACUCAAUUUCACAGUCCCCACUGCACAAAAUGCAGCAAGCAAAGACAAAAUCCCAGGUCUGUUCAGUUCCUUCUCCUCAGCCCAAAGAAUAACAAAGAUCCUCUCUACUCUGACGUUGCACAGGCCAACAGAAAACUGAGGGCACUUAUUUUGCUUUUAGCUCGGCUAGAGGAGAUCCCCUCACGACGUGCAAGCCAUGGAGUCAUGCAUGAACACGAUCCCCCUCCCAUAUAUACACAGCAGCAGAGGAAGGUUACACACACCCUGAGGAGAAGCGCCAUCCCAUCGCUGCUAUUUCCUCCGUUGAAAAGGAAUAAAAAGAAAGUCAUGCUGCUUAUGCUUAUUCCAGCUCUGUUUACUGACCUGAUAACUUAUUCUGCACCUGGCGAGAUCUGAAGCACCUCUCCUGCAGAACCAGCCUCCAGCUCACAUAAGGAAAGUCCCUGGACAAAAAAAGCUCCGGUUCCAUGAAGAAUUACGAUAGAGACAGAAAACUACUGGAUUCUAUGCUGAAGCCCGUGAUAUGCGCAGAGUUACUUAAUGAAAUGACAGCCCUUGUUUUGUAAAGGAACUAAUGGCUUUGACAAGAGUCAUGGUUCCUAUUCAAGAGGCUUUAGCAGACCAAGUAACAAGUCUGUAAUUCACUCGCCAGUACUGUCAUAUUCACAAAAUGCAUUUGUUAGAAGCUGCAUGGGCCAAACGCUUAAUAAAUCCAAUAAUCUCCCCACUAAAUGCAUUAGUGCUGCCCAGCUAUGAUCUUGAUAGAUCAUGUUAGUUGCCCUUAAGCAAUUAGUACUAGGACAAUUGCUCAGAUUCAGCUGGAACAAAGCACUGGCACUUGGUAAUCGGCUUACCCUAAUGAGAGAAAGAAUUUCUGAAGAGGAUAUAGGUAAUGAAAGCUGAGAAAUAUGAUUUAAGGUGCAGCAACAAAAAUAAACAGACUUUACAAAAUCGCACACAAGGAAAGUUCCCGGUCACUUUGGUUCAGAGGCCUCACGACAGAAAACCACACUUACGUGAUGUGCAACAGAAUGGGAGCUGCGUCACUACGGCACUAUUAAGAACAGGGUUAUUCUCCUGCCUUUCCAGGAAGGACAACUGAAACAAGUCCUUCCCAACCUUCAUUUUUAGCUUCAUUAAGUAACGAGUCAGGAGGAAAAUGGAUGUUUAAGAGCACACUGAGCCCUGUGGCUAGAGGGCUACCACUGUAAGGAGCUGCCAUAAACAAAUGCAAGUUGUGUGUUAACUAAUCCAAGCAGCCCCAGGAACAGCCUGUUGCAGCAGAGUACUCUAGAUGGACAGAGUUAGCCAUCAGGAAAGGCAGAGGCAAGAAAUAAAACAAAAUCGUUGCUUCGGUCCGGGUCUCGCUUUCCUUCGCCUUUCCGCGUCAUCCCUCUCUAAGCGGGUGUAAAAUGCUAGCAGCUCGGAAGGCUCUUCUCACACUAACGGCACUUUUUCAUACCUGCGUUCCCUGACAGGAACAGCCCAAGCUGGGUGCUUGCUGUCUGCUGAAGAAGUCAAAGGACACUGCAGCAAAGAGAAGGUUAUUCCCACGUGCAAAAGUGCCUGCUUUUGCUCAGCACAUAAUUGAAUUAUACAUCCGAUUAAAUCAGAAAAUAGAAAAAUCUUUGGAUGGGCAACACUCCACGCGCAGUACCUGAACUCACGUUCAGCACUCACCUCACUGCCAGCUAUAAUAUAGCAAUUAGUUCCAGCAAAACUAUAUUUGCUUAUAGACCUAAUUAGAGAUCAAGAAAGUGGCUCACUUUUGAUAAUUACAUGGUUGUGUCCCAUCUAACAGCCACUGUUAAAUUGUUGUUAUAUUAAUGUAAAGCUUGUAAUCACGGCUGUUCUAAAU